rnacentral:rRNA from 1 species
UACGUAGGGUGCGAGCGUUAAUCGGAAUUACUGGGCGUAAAGCGUGCGCAGGCGGUGAUGUAAGACAGUUGUGAAAUCCCCGGGCUCAACCUGGGAACUGCAUCUGUGACUGCAUCGCUGGAGUGCGGCAGAGGGGGAUGGAAUUCCGCGUGUAGCAGUGAAAUGCGUAGAUAUGCGGAGGAACACCGAUGGCGAAGGCGGCAUCCUGGACCGGCAUUGACGCUGAGGCGCGAAAGCCAGGGGAGCAAACGGG